rnacentral:rRNA from 1 species
AUUAGAGUUUGAUAGUGGCUCAGAUUGAACGCUGGCGGCAGGCCUAACACAUGCAAGUCGAACGGUAACAGGAAGCAGCUUGCUGCUUCGCUGACGAGUGGCGGACGGGUGAGUAAUGUCUGGGAAACUGCCUGAUGGAGGGGGAUAACUACUGGAAACGGUAGCUAAUACCGCAUAACGUCGCAAGACCAAAGAGGGGGACCUUAGGGCCUCUUGCCAUCGGAUGUGCCCAGAUGGGAUUAGCUAGUAGGUGGGGUAACGGCUCACCUAGGCGACGAUCCCUAGCUGGUCUGAGAGGAUGACCAGCCACACUGGAACUGAGACACGGUCCAGACUCCUACGGGAGGCAGCAGUGGGGAAUAUUGCACAAUGGGCGCAAGCCUGAUGCAGCCAUGCCGCGUGUAUGAAGAAGGCCUUCGGGUUGUAAAGUACUUUCAGCGGGGAGGAAGGGAGUAAAGUUAAUACCUUUGCUCAUUGACGUUACCCGCAGAAGAAGCACCGGCUAACUCCGUGCCAGCAGCCGCGGUAAUACGGAGGGUGCAAGCGUUAAUCGGAAUUACUGGGCGUAAAGCGCACGCAGGCGGUUUGUUAAGUCAGAUGUGAAAUCCCCGGGCUCAACCUGGGAACUGCAUCUGAUACUGGCAAGCUUGAGUCUCGUAGAGGGGGGUAGAAUUCCAGGUGUAGCGGUGAAAUGCGUAGAGAUCUGGAGGAAUACCGGUGGCGAAGGCGGCCCCCUGGACGAAGACUGACGCUCAGGUGCGAAAGCGUGGGGAGCAAACAGGAUUAGAUACCCUGGUAGUCCACGCCGUAAACGAUGUCGGCUUGGAGGUUGUGCCCUUGAGGCGUGGCUUCCGGAGCUAACGCGUUAAGUCGACCGCCUGGGGAGUACGGCCGCAAGGUUAAAACUCAAAUGAAUUGACGGGGGCCCGCACAAGCGGUGGAGCAUGUGGUUUAAUUCGAUGCAACGCGAAGAACCUUACCUGGUCUUGACAUCCACGGAAGUUUUCAGAGAUGAGAAUGUGCCUUCGGGAACCGUGAGACAGGUGCUGCAUGGCUGUCGUCAGCUCGUGUUGUGAAAUGUUGGGUUAAGUCCCGCAACGAGCGCAACCCUUAUCCUUUGUUGCCAGCGGUCCGGCCGGGAACUCAAAGGAGACUGCCAGUGAUAAACUGGAGGAAGGUGGGGAUGGCGUCAAGUCAUCAUGGCCCUUACGACCAGGGCUACACACGUGCUACAAUGGCGCAUACAAAGAGAAGCGACCUCGCGAGAGCAAGCGGACCUCAUAAAGUGCGUCGUAGUCCGGAUUGGAGUCUGCAACUCGACUCCAUGAAGUCGGAAUCGCUAGUAAUCGUGGAUCAGAAUGCCACGGUGAAUACGUUCCCGGGCCUUGUACACACCGCCCGUCACACCAUGGGAGUGGGUUGCAAAAGAAGUAGGUAGCUUAACCUUCGGGAGGGCGCUUACCACUUUGUGAUUCAUGACUGGGGUGAAGUCGUAACAAGGUAACCGUAGGGGAACCUGCGGUUGGAUCACCUCCUUUUUGAU